rnacentral:rRNA from 1 species
AGUGAACGCUGGCGGUAGGCCUAACACAUGCAAGUCGAACGGCAGCACAGUAAGAGCUUGCUCUUACGGGUGGCGAGUGGCGGACGGGUGAGGAAUACAUCGGAAUCUACUUUUUCGUGGGGGAUAACGUAGGGAAACUUACGCUAAUACCGCAUACGACCUACGGGUGAAAGCAGGGGAUCUUCGGACCUUGCGCGAUUGAAUGAGCCGAUGUCGGAUUAGCUAGUUGGCGGGGUAAAGGCCCACCAAGGCGACGAUCCGUAGCUGGUCUGAGAGGAUGAUCAGCCACACUGGAACUGAGACACGGUCCAGACUCCUACGGGAGGCAGCAGUGGGGAAUAUUGGACAAUGGGCGCAAGCAUGAUCCAGCCAGACCGCGUGGGUGAAGAAGGCCUUCGGGUUGUAAAGCCCUUUUGUUGGGAAAGAAAAGCAGCAGGUUAAUACCCCGCUGUUCUGACGGUACCCAAAGAAUAAGCACCGGCUAACUUCGUG